CCCACACCAUUGCCUGUAAUCCACCAACCUAGGAGUUACUCCAGUUACUGUCCUACUGAAGGACCCCCAUCCCAUCUGGGCUACUAUAACCACAUGGACCAUCCCUUGCUUCAAUCAUAGAAUUCUUUCUUCAGAUCAAAGUAUAUUCAGACACCCGAUACAGUAACAAAAGCAAGCUAUCCUGGAAACAAGAAGGAAUCAGGAGGCAGAGCACAUGGUUAAAGCAUGAGAUGUGAAACCAGGAAGAACCAGGUCUGAACCUUAGCUCCACCAGUGGUAGCCCCAAACCUUGGUCCUUUCUGAGCCUGCUUCUUCAACCCUAAGGUGUGACUACAUUGAGCAGUAACAGCAAAACCUGAAAGAGAAUGGAUACAGGUGUUCAUUUCAGAUGGUACAAGUUUAACAAAGUACAAGAGCAACUUAAGGGAACGCUACACUUCCUUAGAAAUUAAGAGUGUGUGCUACACUGCUUUACCAGAGCAAGACCAAAAGCAGCUUCAAUUAUGGUACAACUGUGUGAAGACACAAUGCGAAACCACUCAAGAAUGCUCACUCAAAUGGAUUUUUACCAUGGAACUCGGAAACGGGACCCAGAAAGUUGUUUUCUGCAAGUGGAUGGAACAACACAAGCAAUCAGUAUCCUGAAACAGGCCCUGUUCCAACAAACUGACCCAGAAAGCAAGUAUGAGGACUCCUGUUUCCCUACGUACUCACUACUACAGCAAAGAUAUCAAACAUUGAUACCCACCAAUCUCUGGAUGGAAAAACAAAUCUCAGGAAUCGCUUGCAGGAGGCUCUGCACGUUCCUCAGAUUCAGAGUCACUGUCCUUUUGCCUGUGAAGCUCCUCACUUUCAGAGUCACUAGCAUUAAGAUUUAAGGGCUCAUCAUUCUCAGAGUCUGUCACAUGAUGUCCUUUGGGGAGGCCAUCUUCUCGAUCACUAGUUUCAUUCUGAAAAAUAAAGUGAGAAAAAAUUAGGAAAGUGCAAAAAAAAAAAAAACAUUAAU
rnacentral:antisense_RNA from 1 species